CGGUAAAUAAUUUUUGCAGCGUAAAAGCCAAAUAAAUUCAUACAUACUGUAAUACAGAUAACCAAAGCAUAAGAUUUAAUUUACAGUGACACGUGAGUCCACGAACGACCAAAAGUAUCAAAAGCAAUAAACCUACAGUUUUUGAGGAUGCAAGCCCAAUUGUAGCCCUCAACGAAAUGAGCUAUUUAUUGACUAUCUUGAGCCUAAAAGGGGUGGAAAGAAGGGUGGUGAGAUUAUAUAAUCCCAGUGAGUAAACAAAUACCAUCUAAAAUAUCUAAAACUAAGCCAAUAGAGACAGAUAAAAUAGUUUAACAUACUGUAAUUCAUCACCUUUCAACUCAUUUUAACCAAAUAAAAUCAAUUCAUAUAAAUCGAGUAAUCAACAUGGCUUAUAAAUUUCUUAAAAGCUUUGGCUCGUGCCAAAAUCAUUCUCAUACUCAGUUAUCAGGGAUACCUUAGCUGUGGGCUAUCCCAACCGAGUUCGCCAAGGCUAUUAAAAAGUUAUGUACGUAUAAAUCAUGUUUUUAUUUUGAAAACAUAGCCGGUCCUUGGCGUUGGCUGAGUUCACCCUCACAUGGUGGUUUUGCGUGAAGUGAACUCUAAAGUGUUAACCUCAGGAGUUAUCCAUCCGCACCUCUCAUACUGAGGUAUGAAUAUAAUAAGGUUACCGUGCCCCCUCUAAUAGGCUGGUCCAUGGAACUCGUCCACUGCAGGACUAAUCAAUAACUCACCAAUUCAAUAAAAUUUAAUAGCAUGACAUGGCAAUUUUAUCAUUAUGCAGCCUAUCAAGGCAAACAACAGUUUAUUCAUUUUCAACACAAGUACCAAUUCAACCAUUCAUGCCAAUAUUAUCAUAAGCCAUUGAAUUCAAACCAUGAUUUAUAACACAACAAUUAGUCUCCAAUUACUCCAUUUUCAAAACCAUCUUUCAAUUUCAAGACAAUUUUAUAAAAUCAUUUCAUUUAAACACAUUUUGUUUAUAAAACAUAAAGAUUUACCAUUUAAACUCAUUUUCCAUAAAAUCACAAAAUCGGAUAAAAACCACUUUAGAUAAUUAAGACGAUAGUAAGGUUACUCACUAUUUCGAGAGUUGAAUUCAGAGUACUCUAAUUCUUGAUCCUCGGGUACUAUCCCUUUACUUUUGCCAGAAUGGUCACCACCUAGACAUAAUGCACAAUAAGCCAUUUACUACAUUUGUGCUAAAUUGUUAUAAAACCAAUUCAGGCUCUAUACUAAUGCAUGAAAUGGGAUGUAAAUUGUUCAGAUUAUUGUCUAAACACGGUGUUCUACACAAAUUCAAUUGUAUACCUAAACAAAACGGUAUUGGCCUAACUCGAUCUAUCACUUGAUUAAUUGGCCAAUAUGUCCAAUUCAACUCCAAAUAAUUGCAUCUCUCUCCCAAUACUUUGAAUCACCAAACACAAGUCAAAUAACAUAAAAUUUAGUAAAACCAUCCUCAUAUUUUCUCUUGAAAAAUUCGGCCAUGGUGGGUGCAUUAACACUAUAAUUUUUCAAGCUUGAUUCUCACACCAUAAAUCACAAAUUCCUAACCAAAUCACUUGAAAUAAAAUCAAAAUCAUCCUCAAUAUUCCACAUGGAGAAUUCGGCCAAUGAUGGGUGAUGAAAAAACAUGAAUUUUUCUUGCUUGAUUUUCAUGCUACACAUCACCAAUCAACUAAAAACACUAAAAGACAUUGAAAUCAAGCAUCAAAACCUCUCUCUAAGUGUUCAGGCAGCAAGAUACCCAUCAUGAAACCAUGUGAUUCAACCAUGGAAAAUGAAAAAUAAUAUAUGGGAAAGGUAGAUCACAAGUCAAAAUCCAGAAAUUUUACCUUUGAUUGCUUGAUUAGUUGAGAUCCACCAAUUUUCUCUUGAAUUUUCACCCUAGGGUUCUUGUUCUUUCUUUUCUUCCUUUGGUCUUGCUU
rnacentral:lncRNA from 1 species